CGGAAAUUUAUACUUACUUUUUAUCAGUUAAGACAAUGUGUGAAACCCAGGUCCAGGAUAAGGAUUGGUGCUGCACCAUGUUUUACGCUAUAUGGAGCACAUUCAUUGGUGCCAUUUUCUUGUUAAGUGCAAUAUAUUAUGUCAUAUUGUCCUGGUCCAUCUGGCCUAUGUUCGCAGAAAGUUCGAUUGCGUUGAUCAUCUGCUUACUAAGCCUUUUUUAUUUAAUUGUCUGUAUAUUGUAUCUUUUUGCUGGGAUUUGCAUGCUGCUGGGCAUUGUAUACAGAAUAAGAAAGGUGUUCGUUUGUGGAAAAGUUCUAAGCCAUUUUUUCCCAAUAUAUACCUUCUUGUUCAUAUUUACAAUAGUUGUCCAUUUCUCGUCCUUGCCGAAAUUAUGCCGGUAUAUGAAGAAAACUUGGCCGUAAAUUAGUUGCUUGCUGUAGUGAACAAAGCCACAAAAUCCUUGGAAAACGGCACUCAAACUCAGAGAGUCAUCCCGGAUUAUUACUUUUUUAAUUUACCCUAGAA